AAGCUUUUUGGACCUCAUCCAUAAACGCUACAUUUGGAGAGAAGUCAACAAUUCUUAUGAUGAAAAUAGCACAAUUCCUACUGUGAAACACAUUGGCAGAUCGCUGAUAUGUAAGCUGCAAAGACACAGGAAAUUUGGCCAGAAUAGAUGACAUGAUGCAUUGUUGGGAUCCUUCUGUCUCGGAAUCUGCGCCACGGUUUGGUCUGUUUUAGAGUUACAGUGUCUGCUGUGGCUGAACAGGCCAAUUCUGGAUCUGCUGCACUUCAGAUGAAGGUUGCGUCUGGCUCUGUGGAGGCUGCUAAUGCUGCUUUCGGCAGAUUCUUUUGACUUUCCACUUUUCCUCUCUCUUCUCCUCACUUUUCCAGACGACCUCUUUUAUGGUCCUUCUCCAGCAGAUACUGACCUCAGCUAUCUGUUCCCAUCCUGCUGGGUCAACAUCACCUGCCCUCAUGUCACGUUUUCCUCAUGUCCUUAAAGUGUACGACAGGUCUGGAGCUGGUGGUGAGCCUGCCGUACAGUAUGUCCUUGGGAAUCCUUCCAUCGUUCAUCCGUCUGACAUGGCCAAGCCACCGGAGGCGCCGCUGGGUGAGCAAAGCGAACAUACUUGGUAUAUUUGCCCGUUUAAGGACAAACUGGCUGGAGAUGUUGUCCUGCCAGAUAAUUCCCAGGAUUUUUCCUGCAUAAUGAAUGCUGCACAUUGUAAGAAGAUGCUGGAGGAAAACGUGUACCCUUCAGCUUGGACGUGCAUGGGAUUCACUGGGACAUUUCAUCAGAAUAAGGUGAAGGUUCUUUAGUGGCCGUCUCAGACUCCUGACUUCAGUAUUUAUGAGCCACAAUGGGGAGAUUUCAAACGGAGUAUAUAAAGAACUUCAUCCACAAUGAGCACAAGAGACUUCAGGCUCAUUGGUGCAAAAGGUGGCAAUACAAGGUAAUAACAACUGGGUAUGUAAACUUUUGAUUUGUGUAUUUUGGUUUCUGUUGUCAGUGUGAUUUAAAAAGUGUUAACACUGUUGUUUGACAAUAAGUGGCUUGAUCUUAUCACUAAGCAUUAAUUGAAAAUUAAUAAUCUCUUCUUUUAUGUUAAACUUUAUUGUCCUUGCAGUUCAAUAAAAAAUUACAGAAA